AACAAACGCUGGCGGCGUGCCUAUACAUGCAAGUCGAACGGGGAAAGCUUUCGGGUGAGUACUAGUGGCGCACGGGUGAGGAACGCGUGGAUAAUCUGCCUUAGAGUGGGGGAUAACUAGUCGAAAGAUUAGCUAAUACCGCAUAAGACCACAGGAGCUGCGGCUCUAGGGGUCAAAGGUUUUUCGCUCUAAGAUGAGUCCGCGUAAGAUUAGCUAGUUGGUGAGGUAACGGCUCACCAAGGCGACGAUCUUUAACUGGUCUGAGAGGAUGAUCAGGCGCACUGGAACUGAGACACGGUCCAGACUCCUACGGGAGGCAGCAGUAGGGAAUAUUGCACAAUGGAGGAAACUCUGAUGCAGCGACGCCGCGUGAGUGAUGAAGGCCUUCGGGUCGUAAAGCUCUGUCGCAGGGGAAUAACACAAUGAAUGUACCCUGUAAGAAAGGAUCGGCUAACUUCGUGCCAGCCGCCGCCGUAAGAC
rnacentral:rRNA from 1 species